CUGUAAUAUCCCUCGCUUUUAAAAAUUAUUAAUAAAGAUUUAUAUGUAAAUUGGAGGACCUAUAUGUAAAUAUAGAAAUUACAAGGACUAAACUGCUAAGUUACAAAAAAAAAAGAAAAAAAAAAGGAAAAACCGAAAAUUCGGUAUUAUCCCACCGCCUCCCACGCACUCUGUUUCUUCCAGAAACAGAGAGAGCGGUGGGGCGUGAGGAGAAGAAGGAGAGUGGUAGAAGAAGAGAGGAAGAAGAGGGAGAAGAGAAGAAGAAGAAGAAGAAGAAGAAGAAGAGGGAAAAGAAGAGAGGAGGAAGAAGAGGGAGUAGAGAAGAAGAAGAAGGAGAAGAAGAAGAAGAGGAGGUGGCUGCAGCGAGGGCUGCAGCGAGAAGCUGUGGGGCGUGGGGAGAAGAAGAGAGGAAGAAGAGGGAGAAGAGAAGAAGAAGAAGAAGAAGAAGAGAAGAGGAUAGCUGCGGCAAGGCUGCAGCGAGGAGGUGUGGGGUUGGGGAGGAAAAGGGAAGAGGAGAAGAAGAGGGAAAAGAGAGGGAAGAGGGAGAGGAGCGAGAGGUGGCAGCAGCUAGGGCUGCAGCACCUCUGUUUCCUGAAGGUGGAAACAGAGGAGAGGUGUGGGGCGUUCGAAGAGGAGAAGAAGAAGAAGAGGAAGAGAAGAGGAAGAGGAAGCAGGGGAAGAGGUUGUGAUACCUCUGUUUCCUGCAGAGGAAACAGAGGAGAGGGUGUGGGUGACGUCGGGGAGAAGAAGGGGAGGAAGGAGAAGAAGAGAAGAAGAAGAAAGGAAGGAAAAGGAAGAGGAGAAGGGAAGAAAGUAGCUGCGGCUGCGGUUGUGGCAGCUGCAGCUGUGGCAGGGAAAGAAGAAGAGAAAGGAAGAAGGGGAGGAGAGGAAGAAGAGUAGGGGCUGCGGCUGCGGCGAUGGCAGCUGCAGUUGGAAGAGAAGAAGGAGAGGAAGAUGAGCAGGGGAGGAAGAAAAGGCUGUGGCCGUGGCUGAGGCUGCGACUGCAGCAUGCAGCUGGGAAAGAAGAGAAGGAAAGGAAGAAGAAGAGAAAGGAAGAAGGGAAGGAGAGGAAGAAGAGAAGGGGCUGCGGCUGCGGCGAUGGCAGCUGCAGUUGGAAGAGAAGAAGGAGAGGAAGAUGAGCAGGGGAGGAAGAAAAGGCUGUGGCCGUGGCUGAGGCUGCGACUGCAGCAUGCAGCUGGGAAAGAAGAGAAGGAAAGGAAGAAGAAGAGAAAGGAAGAAGGGAAGGAGAGGAAGAAGAGAAGGGGCUACGGCUGCGGCGAUAGCAGCUGCAGUUGGAAGAGAAGAAGGAGAGGAAGAUGAGCAGGGGAGGAAGAAGAGGCUGCGAGUGUGGUGGCUGCGGCCGUGGCUGCGACUCCGGCUGCGGCUGCAACGUUGGCUGCGGUAGCUGCGGCAGCGGUGGUGGCUGCAGUAGCUGCAGUAGCUGCUUUUGGGAAAGAGAAAGAGUAGGAACGAGAGAAGGGAAGAAGGAAAUAGUGCAGUGGAAGGGGGCUGCGGUUGUGACCGCAGUUGCGGUCGUGGCUGCGAUUGUGGCAGCGGCAGCGACGACGGCUGUGGCAGCUGUGUUUGGGAAAGAAAAAAAGAAGGAAUGAGAGUAAGAGAGAGCAGGUGACUGUGCCUCGAUGUUCGACACGUGAUGUAGUUGCGAAGAAAGGAAGAAAACGGGAGCACAAAACGAAACAGAGAGAGGACACGGACAAAAAGUAGAAGGAUUUGGGCUGGCACCUUCUUUGGAUCUUCGGAUCGAAAUCAUUGAAAGGUCAGCUUGUCACUCUUCGAGAUGUUUGAUUUGGGCUGAGGCAGUGGAUAGCUAUUCAGAAUAAUGGGCAAGUUUGGUUGGUUAUUACGAUAUUGUUGUAUAAGUAUGUCUUGUAUGUAAUGAAAUGUUGUCGAUGAACCGAAAUGGAUAUACUGUAUCAAAGCGUUAGGAGAUCUCUCUUAUUUGGAAUUUUAGAAUGUUAAGUCUAAUUUAUGGUGAUAUGAACUUGUGGUGAAUAGUUGGAGUUCUGAUUGUAUAAUUUAUUUAGCUUGUGGAUUUAUAAAUGUUGUUCAUGUUUGUCAA